AUCAGUAAGCAAAAGAUUGCUAGAGAAAAAACACAAAGAAAUAGCCUCAAGGAAAAUUCAACUUCACUUAAUCAACCAAAAAUCAAGACAUUAGAGAAACGCUUUAAAUGUAGUACUUGUGAAAAGGCCUUCAUUCACAGCUCAUCCCUUCGCAAACAUCUGAAAAACCAUAGUGGAGAGAGAUUAUUUCAAUGUAAAGACUGUUUGAAAGCUUUCAGCCAAAGUUCCGCUCUUAUUCAACAUCAAAGAACUCAUACUGGAGAGAAGCCCUACAUAUGUAAUGAGUGUGGGAAGGCCUUCAGCCACAGUGCAUCCCUUUGUAAGCACCUAAGAACUCAUACUUUGGAGAAAUCCUAUACAUGCAAAGAAUGUGGAAAAUCUUUUAGCAGAAGGUCUAGUCUUUUUUUGCAUCAAAAAAUCCAUGCCCGAGAAAACCCUCAUAGAUAUAACCCAGGAAGGAAGGCAUCCGCUUCGCUCUCAGGAUGCCAGAGAGCUCAUUCCAGGAAGAAGACCUACUUGUGUAACGAAUGCGGCAACACCUUCAAGUCUAGCUCCUCCCUCCGUUACCAUCAGAGAAUCCACACUGGAGAGAAACCUUUCAGAUGUAGUGAAUGCGGCAGAGCCUUCAGUCAGAGCGCAUCACUUAUUCAGCACGAAAGAAUCCACACGGGAGAAAAGCCCUACAGGUGUGGCGAGUGUGGAAAAGGCUUUACUUCUAUCUCAAGACUCAAUAGACACCGGAUAAUUCAUACAGGAGAGAAAUUGUAUAAUUGCAAUGAGUG
rnacentral:lncRNA from 1 species